AUUGAACGCUGGCGGCAGGCCUAACACAUGCAAGUCGAGCGGAUGAAGGGAGCUUGCUCCUGGAUUCAGCGGCGGACGGGUGAGUAAUGCCUAGGAAUCUGCCUGGUAGUGGGGGAUAACGUCCGGAGACGGGCGCUAAUACCGCAUACGUCCUGAGGGAGAAAGUGGGGGAUCUUCGGACCUCACGCUAUCAGAUGAGCCUAGGUCGGAUUAGCUAGUUGGUGGGGUAAAGGCCUACCAAGGCGACGAUCCGUAACUGGUCUGAGAGGAUGAUCAGUCACACUGGAACUGAGACACGGUCCAGACUCCUACGGGAGGCAGCAGUGGGGAAUAUUGGGCAAUGGGCGAAAGCCUGAUCCAGCCAUGCCGCGUGUGUGAAGAAGGUCUUCGGAUUGUAAAGCACUUUAAGUUGGGAGGAAGGGCAGUAAGUUAAUACCUUGCUGUUUUGACGUUACCAACAGAAUAAGCACCGGCUAACUUCGUG
rnacentral:rRNA from 1 species